UACGUAGGGGGCAAGCGUUGUCCGGAAUCAUUGGGCGUAAAGAGCGUGUAGGCGGCCCGAUAAGUCCGCUGUGAAAGUCCAGGGCUCAACCCUGGAAUGCCGGUGGAUACUGUCGGGCUAGAGUCCGGAAGGGGCGAGUGGAAUUCCUGGUGUAGCGGUGAAAUGCGCAGAUAUCAGGAGGAACACCAAUGGCGAAGGCAGCUCGCUGGGACGUGACUGACGCUGAGACGCGAAAGCGUGGGGAGCAAAUAGG
rnacentral:rRNA from 1 species